rnacentral:rRNA from 1 species
GAGAGCUUGCUCUCGGGUGACGAGCGGCGGACGGGUGAGUAAUGUCUGGGAAACUGCCUGAUGGAGGGGGAUAACUACUGGAAACGGUAGCUAAUACCGCAUAACGUCGCAAGACCAAAGUGGGGGACCUUCGGGCCUCAUGCCAUCAGAUGUGCCCAGAUGGGAUUAGCUAGUAGGUGGGGUAACGGCUCACCUAGGCGACGAUCCCUAGCUGGUCUGAGAGGAUGACCAGCCACACUGGAACUGAGACACGGUCCAGACUCCUACGGGAGGCAGCAGUGGGGAAUAUUGCACAAUGGGCGCAAGCCUGAUGCAGCCAUGCCGCGUGUAUGAAGAAGGCCUUCGGGUUGUAAAGUACUUUCAGCGAGGAGGAAGGCGAUAAGGUUAAUAACCUUGUCGAUUGACGUUACUCGCAGAAGAAGCACCGGCUAACUCCGUGCCAGCAGCCGCGGUAAUACGGAGGGUGCAAGCGUUAAUCGGAAUUACUGGGCGUAAAGCGCACGCAGGCGGUCUGUCAAGUCGGAUGUGAAAUCCCCGGGCUCAACCUGGGAACUGCAUCCGAAACUGGCAGGCUAGAGUCUUGUAGAGGGGGGUAGAAUUCCAGGUGUAGCGGUGAAAUGCGUAGAGAUCUGGAGGAAUACCGGUGGCGAAGGCGGCCCCCUGGACAAAGACUGAC